CAAUGGGCGGAUCAUGGAGCCUCUCAAUAGUUCCCGGAAGUGAGCAGCAGUGCAUUAGAGUAGCAGCAGAAUGGAUCAAGACCGUCUGUUGCACUUAUGAAGGGUAAGACGUUUAAAUAAUCAUUUAGUAUAAUAUCAGCACAUCUGAAUCGAAUCAACAUGCGCAUUAAAGCAUGUUAGUGGAUUAUAUCCAAAUAAAUCUGUAAACAAAAAUCUGUUUUUUUCAUUGACUAACUACAUAGAGUACCUACAUAGGCAUGUCGGUCUGCUUUAAUGUAAAUCGAUGCAUUUAUUGACUACUAAUUACCCAAAAAUCGCAGUUCUGUCGCUCUGAAUAAUGGAAUGUAAUUGCACGCCCAAAACGUCCGGAACUAUCUGAAGUCUACAUGAGUCACGUGACGUGCAAGCAUUUUGGACCGUUGCUACUCUCUCUCAACGGCUCUGAUUGGUCCCAGGUGAUGAAACCUGAUUGGGUAUGAAAGGAGCAUCCUCCAAAGAGAUGGCGGUCACCAUAUAUUCUUUGUCAGGGAUCCUGUAGAAUGAUGGCUCUGGUUUUUCGGUGUUCUGAUUGGUUAAAGUCGUUGGACUGUUAUCUGGCUUUGAUCUCUCGACGGAGCAGGUUACCAUGGUGAUUUUCCCCGGUGAGAAGAGAACCAUCUUCGUGGGACGGAAAACCCCCAGAGUUAAACCCGAAGUUGCCUCGAUAACCGAAAAACCGCAAAUCCAGCUCCGUGUACAGGCUCCAGGUCCAUAAAGGGGGAAAGGUCUCUCAGCAUUACCACAUUGACCAGGUCCAGAUAGAAGAUAGGUGCAAUGGAGUUUAUGAACUACAGUCAGGAGGACUCACUUGGUGAAGAGGAAGUAACCGCCUUACCUCAAGUACAGAUGCAAUCAGUUGUGGUGGUUCCUAGCCAGCACAGCACCACCAGCACCAGCACCAGCACCAGUACCAGCACCAGUACCAGCACCAGUACCAGCACCAGCACCAGUAGCAGUAAAACAGCAGUACCUCCUGCGCCAGAGCUGAAAGGUUCCCACAGUGACAAAUAUGUUCACAGUGACGAAAGAAAAAGGCUGGCGAUAUUUGACAGCGACUGGGAGUUUAGGAAACAGCGUUAUGUGCUCUUCACCACCAGAGAAAUGAACAGGCACCACGGAGCAGAACAGGAGAGACGUGACCAUCGUAAGUGGCAGCAGCCCUCCAACCUCAGACGCAGGUACUGUACUUUAUUCUCACUGGGGUUGUUUAUAGAUGUAAAGACGAGUGGUUGUCAAACUAGAGAGGUUCCAAGAAGAUUUUUCUCUCCCCAAUACCGAUUCCGAUACUCAGUACUGAUCAGAUACCAGUGCAUUAAAUUUUUUUAA
ensembl:lncRNA